AAACUGUGAUAGGUGUUGUGAAUUGCAGAUACCUGUGGAUCAUCGAGUUUUUGAACGCAUACUGCGGCCUUUGGUCAACCUUGGGCCCUGUCCGUUAGAGUGUCAGCUCUAGACUCGCUAUUUUGCUGUGACGAUGUCAUUAUAGCGGAUUUGGCAGUUGAAUCUUUUAAAUUCAUCUGCUUAAAUGUAUUUCCUGGUGAUAAUCUUUCAGGUGUAAGCUUUUGGCAUAUUCCUGAAGGAUAGGGCGUAUUUUCCGGGAAGUUCCAGAUUUUCUGGACCAGUAUAUUACUGGCAUAACUUAUGACCUCUAAUCGGGCAAGAUUACCCGCUUAAUUUAA
rnacentral:misc_RNA from 1 species